rnacentral:rRNA from 1 species
UACGUAGGGUGCAAGCGUUAAUCGGAAUUACUGGGCGUAAAGCGUGCGCAGGCGGUUCUUUAAGACAGAUGUGAAAUCCCCGGGCUCAACCUGGGAACUGCAUUUGUGACUGUAGAGCUGGAGUGCGGCAGAGGGGGAUGGAAUUCCGCGUGUAGCAGUGAAAUGCGUAGAUAUCGGAAGGAACACCAGUGGCGAAAGCGGCUUCCUGGUCCAGCACCGACGUUCAGGCACGAAAGCGUGGGGAGCAAACAGG